UACGGAGGGUGCAAGCGUUAUCCGGAUUCAUUGGGUUUAAAGGGUGCGUAGGAGGGCAGGUAAGUCAGUGGUGAAAUCUCCGAGCUUAACUUGGAAACUGCCGUUGAUACUAUCUGCCUUGAAUAUUGUGGAGGUGAGCGGAAUAUGUCAUGUAGCGGUGAAAUGCUUAGAUAUGACAUAGAACACCAAUUGCGAAGGCAGCUCGCUACACAUAUAUUGACUCUGAGGCACGAAAGCGUGGGGAUCAAACAGG
rnacentral:rRNA from 1 species